rnacentral:sRNA from 1 species
GCUGGGUGUGGUGGUGCACACCUGUAAUCCCAGCAGCUUGUGAGGAUGGGGCAGGAGGAUCACAGAUUCAAAGCCAGCAUCAGCAACUUAGCAAGGCUAGAAGCAGCCUGGUGAGAUCCUGUCUCAG